rnacentral:rRNA from 1 species
AAAACGACUCUCGGCAACGGAUAUCUCGGCUCUCGCAUCGAUGAAGAACGCAGCGAAAUGCGAUACUUGGUGUGAAUUGCAGAAUCCCGUGAAUCAUCGARUCUUUGAACGCAAGUUGCGCCCCAAACCUUYSGGUCGAGGGCACGUGUGCCWGGGUGUCACGC